UUUGCAUCAUCAUGAGAAUUCUGUGGAAGGUGAUGCAAAUGAGGGGCACACAGUAAAUGAAUAACUUUCUAGGAAACUUGGCUUCUAGACUUCAUGAAACACAAGAUAUCAUGUUUCUUUAAUGGGAAUUAAAGAGUCAUCAUAAUUGGAUCCUAAUCUGCUUCUCGUUUGAAAAAAUCCAAAUCGAGGACAAUCCUAGUUCUAUAUUCUGACAUUAUCAUCCAAAGCAGUGUCAAUGUUUCACAAUAUGAUUCAGCAUAAGCUUCUUCAGGUAUGCAGGGACAGAAGAUGGACAUUUUCAUGAGCUAGCAUGCUCAUCAUGCAACCUUUUUCUCAGCUCCUUGUGAUCUCUAUCUGAUUCAAAUCAUGAAGAGAUAAUGGACAACUAUCAUAAUAAUGGAGGGGUUUUAUU
rnacentral:lncRNA from 1 species